CUGGAGUACAGGGGCGCUGGAACCAGCCAGCGAACUCCCUGCAGGCCCCGCGGCACUUUCGGGGGCGGGGGAUGGUGCCUGCGAUCCCCAAAACCCCAAAGGGCGUUUUUUACAGUGCUCUUUUAGCUCUGCUGACCGCGGAUGGCUUAAGUGUUAACAGCUCAGUGGGCCCUUUGCCUUUUCUCAUGAGUCGGCUGCCCUGUGCCAGCAAGGGCAAAGGGCCAGUGUAACAGCCUUUUGUAUCUGCACUCGUGGCUCCUGAGCUCCUGUUCGGCACACAGGAAAAAUGAGGUCGCACCAACAAACUGAAGGAUGGUAAAUGUUGAGGAUUUUAUUGCCAAUGAAAGCGGCUGUCACUGGGAGCUGAAAAGGUAAUGGAAAGCUGAAAAGCGGAUAAGGUGGGUAGGUACCUGAAGUCUGGCCAUCUACGGCAGCUGGAUUCUUCUCCAAAGUUAUACUGUCAAGCUGUCCCUCUGAAGCCAAGCCACUUCUCUUUGACAUCCAGCCGUAGUCUCUGCUCCUCUCCAACUGAGUAUGAGGGAGAUGUUUCCUAUUAUCCUUGAUAAUGUGCCAUGAACAUAUGAAAAAACAUAGAAACAUGAAGAAAACAAGAAGACAAAAAUCACUAACAUCUGGUUGGCUGUAUAGAAACAAAGCUGAUUCUGGUCUCGCUCUAUACCCCAGGUUGGAGUGCAGUGGUAAGAUCACAGCUCACUGCUGCCUUGACUUCCUGGGCUCAAGUGAUUCUCCUGCCUCAGUCUCCUCAGUAGCUCGGACUACAGG
rnacentral:lncRNA from 1 species